rnacentral:rRNA from 1 species
UACGUAGGGUGCGAGCGUUGUCCGGAUUUAUUGGGCGUAAAGAGCUUGUAGGCAGCUCGUCACGUCGGGUGUGAAAACUCGCGGCUCAACCGCGAGCCUGCACCCGAUACGGGCGGGCUAGAGUUCGGCAGGGGAGACUGGAAUUCCUGGUGUAGCGGUGGAAUGCGCAGAUAUCAGGAGGAACACCGGUGGCGAAGGCGGGUCUCUGGGCCGAUACUGACGCUGAGAAGCGAAAGCGUGGGGAGCGAACAGG